UAUACACCACGAUGAAAAAUUUGGCCAUAUCUAAAACUCAACUCUUCCUUAGUAAUUACAAAUCACUAAGAGAUGGAGAAAUCAUUGGAUGGGAAAUGGUCAUUCCUACACAUACAAGCAAGGACAACACUAAUCGGGCUCACUACCAGAGGUGACAUUCAGGAAGGAGCCCUGGACUCCAAAGAGUAAGAAUUUGAGAACUCAGAAAAGACAACCAAGUCUUCAACCCAUCAUUCCCUCGGUGCUCUGAGAAAGAGAAAUAACACAAUGACUGUGUAGACUGACAUUCAAAUGCACCAACAUGCAACUAAGAGGAUGUGAGCAUCGGAAGAUGGGAGCUGAGACUUCUUCAGUUCCUGCCAUGUACCCUCCUGGUUU